rnacentral:rRNA from 1 species
GUAUAUGUAUGANGUUAUGAUGUGAGUUACUCUNUGUAGUAUUGCUCGCACGUACUUAUGCAUUUAUUUGCAAGGUGUUGUCGGCGUGCACUUCUCCCCUAGUAGGACGUCGCGACCCGUUGGGUA